UGAGCGUGAUAUUAUUAAAUUCCUUUCAACCAUUGGACCACAUCCUUCUUUUUACUUUUCAUCAUCUUCUAAUUCUAAUGCUUUCGUUUCCCCGUGAUUAAUGCUCACUUCUCUUCAACUUCUUAUUCUCAAAAGGGUGGUUUAAUUCACCAUACACAAUGCUAUCAAAUUUUUCAAAACCAGGCCCCGCAAAUAAGAGAAAGACUAACAGAAAAAUACAAAUUAAGAAAAAAGAAAGAAAGACAGUGAUCUAUCUUGGUCAUAUGAGACAAAAAAGAUGACACUGGAAACAGCAAAACUAGCUACUUAGAACCGGAGAUGGUCCAAAAUGUAGCCUAAUAAAAAACGUACAAAAGAGGGAGACAAAAAAUUAAAAAGGAACCACAUACUUUUAUUAUGCUUUUGCUAGCUAUACGUUUGCCAUCUUCCCAUCGCUCUUAUCUCUACGCAAUCCUCAACCUUGGAGAGACGACGAACAACGACACAACAUGUCUGUAUAUAUAUACAUACAUGCACAUACCCUCAGAGUAACUAUAGAUCAAGACUAUAACCUCCUACACUCUAUCAUUAUAUAUUUUUACACCCUCUUAUCGUGCACCUCCACCAGUUGAAGCUGCCAGCAUGAUCUGAGUUUACCUUCUUUAAUGGUAAGAACAGAUCAUGUGGCUGCUUCACCUGUUGAAUGGAAGCAUAUACAAACCCUAAUUCGCUUUCUCAUCCGCUGCUAUCCUACAACCCUAGAAAAAGAUAAGUGCAUGUUUUCUGGAUGGCUGAAUUGCUGUUCUUGUGUUGGCUAAAUCUCAAGAUUGUAUUCGAAUCGGCUUGAUUCUUGCAAAAAAGAAACAAGAUAGGAUGGUGGCAUGUGUUCAGGGUUCAAGUCACAGUGAGGCGUUUCGAUCUACAACAAGUGAAUAUAGAUGGCACAGUUAAACAUUAAUUGGAUUAAUUGUUUUUCUCUUCCUCAACCCCCUCUCAAGGUAAACCUAUGUCACUUUCAGUCCAUCAAUCAAUUCAGAUCCUUGUUUCAUAAUCAUGGAUGCUUGUGCUUACACAUCCAAGAUCAACCAAAGUCAACCUUGUGAUUUAGUUCUUACAGAUAUAUAAAUGGAAUGAACUUCACCAACUAAGACUUCAAUGAGAGGAUUGGUGAAAUCUAAGUGUCAAAAAUCACAACUUGGGAUGAAUUGAUGUACAAGAGACAAAGAUGAAACAGAGAGUUCAACAAACGAGCUGUGAACAGUCUCACAACCUGUGGAAUUUGCUUCUAAAUGCAGUUGCAAAACAGAGAGCUUCACAAGUGAGUUGUGGUUUCUACCACAACCUAUUGGGGAUUUUUUCCAUGGGCUGUGAAAGUUUCCAAGAGCAGUUACUAAUCUCUUUUAUGACUGAUUUAAAGAGAUUAAAAUUAAGGAGAAAUUGAAGGAAGUUAUUGAAGGGAAGUAACUACUCUCCUAAAAAAGAGGAAUUAGUGGAAAUGGUGGGGAGUUGGAAAAAAAAACGUGGAAAGGGAGAUAAAAGUUGGAAUUCACGUGCAGGGCCUUCUUCAUCUUCUUCUUCUGCAGCUUUUUCAUACUUUUGUUUUUGAACUUCCUUUACAUUAUGCAGAACUAAUUUUCCAUUUGUUAGAGGAUUGAUGUAGUACUUUUGAUUAUACUUUCUGAACAUUUUCAAUUGAUGUUGUUUAAUUUUAAUUA